rnacentral:rRNA from 1 species
AACGUAGGAGGCAAGCGUUAUCCGGAGUUACUGGGCGUAAAGCGUGCGUAGGCGGGCUGGUAAGUGGGUGGUGAAAGCGCUCGGCUAAACCGGGCGAGUGCCAUCCAGACUGCCGGUCUAGAGGCGGAUAGAGGGGUGCGGAAUUCCGGGUGUAGCGGUGAAAUGUGUAGAGAUCCGGAGGAACACCAGUGGUGCAAACGGCGCCCUGGGUCCGAACUGACGCUGAGGCACGAAAGCGUGGGGAGCGAACGGG